UAAAUGAGUGUCUAAUAGUGUUUUAAAUGUGUGCAUUCUUUAUUUUAGCAUUUUGGUGCAUUUUCUUUAAAAAUUAAAAAUUCUGUCUAAAAACCACAGUAAUGCGCCACCUUCAGCUGAAAACAUAGAAUUUUUGUCAUUUUGAAUAAAUUUUAGCCAAUGGCUAAAGAGUAAAGUACUACGUAAACCAGUAGAGUACUACGUAGCAGCUCCGUGCCAAAGUUAUAAAAGCAACGAGCGUCUCGGCCACGCCCUGUGGCGAGUGGGAGUUGGAUUUGCAAGCGAGCAUAGGAGGUCAGCGGUAGUUCAGCAUUAGCAUAUAGCAUUAGCAUAUCCUAGUCUUAGCAUAUCUUUUAGUGUUAUAAAUACUUAUUUAGUGUUAGAUUUGGCUGUUGGAUAUUGUAGUUGAGUUAGUGUUUGGCUGUUAGUGUAAUUGGGAAAGUAUUUCUGGUUUAGUGUUCCAUAUCGUCUUAGUAUUGGUGAGUAGGUGUAGUGUAGUAUGCUUGCGGUGACUCUGUGGGCAUUUUACCCGCGAUUCUGCGCGCCUCCGUUUGAAGAGGGAGGCUGCCCACCGUGGCUCUUCCGCGAUUUAGAUGCAGCCCACCGACUCUGCUCCCCCACCACGGCGGGCUCCAGUCUGAGGCUAAAUCUACCCAAGACACUGGCUGUCAGACUGAUUUAGCUGCAUGAAUGUACUUGUCCAGGCUGAUGUGAAACCUUCCCUGUAGCAAAGCCAUCCAGUUUAGAGCUCACAGCCGCAGUGUGUCUGGUGACCCACAGGGACCAUGAUGAAAAUUCAUCUUCCAGAAGGUCCCAGAGCGUCCAGACCCCCUGAAAAGACCAAGAUGUGAGGUGUCUGCUGUUGAUUCCAGCUUCCACCUCAGUGACAGUGCAAGCUCAGUGAACUGUUCAAGCCUGGCUGAUCACCUGAUAACUCCUGUCAUCUGGUUAUGACAGCAUGAGGAUGUCCUCACACACCUGUAACCUAUCAGCUCAUCCUGCUGAAUAGAGAGAGAAGAGACAAUACCACAUCUCCUGUUCCUGGAAAGCCUUCAGCCAUCCUUCGAUGACUGAGAACCUCCAUCAGCUCUGUCUCCUGUCUGCCUACAAUUAUAAUAAAUAU